rnacentral:tRNA from 1 species
AGGGCUUUAGAUUAAAAAAAUUUAAAGCCUUCAAAGCUUUCGAUGGGAAAAUAUUUCCCAAGCCCUG